rnacentral:rRNA from 1 species
GAUUGAACGCUGGCGGCAUGCCUUACCCAUGCAAGUCGAACGGCAGCACGGGUGCUUGCACCUGGUGGCGAGUGGCGAACGGGUGAGUAAUCCAUCGGAACAUGUCCUGUAGUGGGGGAUAGCCCGGCGAAAGCCGGAUUAAUACCGCAUACGAUCUACGGAUGAAAGCGGGGGACCUUCGGGCCUCGCGCUAUAGGGUUGGCCGAUGGCUGAUUAGCUAGUUGGUGGGGUAAAGGCCUACCAAGGCGACGAUGAGUAGCUGGUCUGAGAGGACGACCAGCCACACUGGGACUGAGACACGGCCCAGACUCCUACGGGAGGCAGCAGUGGGGAAUUUUGGACAAUGGGCGAAAGCCUGAUCCAGCAAUGCCGCGUGUGUGAAGAAGGCCUUCGGGUUGUAAAGCACUUUUGUCCGGAAAGAAAUCCUUGGCCCUAAUACGGUCGGGGGAUGACGGUACCGGAAGAAUAAGCACCGGCUAACUACGUG